rnacentral:rRNA from 1 species
UACGAGGGGGGCGAGCGUUGUUCGGAAUUAUUGGGCGUAAAGGGUGCGUAGGCGGUUUGGUAAGUCUUGUGUGAAAUCUCCAGGCUCAACUUGGAGUCUGCACGAGAAACUGCCGGGCUUGAGUGUGGGAGAGGUGAGUGGAAUUCCCGGUGUAGCGGUGAAAUGCGUAGAUAUCAGGAGGAACACCGGUGGCGAAGGCGGGUCUCUGGGCCGAUACUGACGCUGAGGAGCGAAAGCGUGGGGAGCGAACAGG